rnacentral:rRNA from 1 species
UACGUAGGGGGCUAGCGUUGUCCGGAAUCAUUGGGCGUAAAGAGCGCGCAGGCGGUCGUACAAGUCGCGUGUGAAAGCCCCCGGCUCAACUGGGGAGGGUCACGCGAUACUGUUCGACUCGAAGGCAGGAGAGGGAAGCGGAAUUCCCGGUGUAGUGGUGAAAUGCGUAGAUAUCGGGAGGAACACCAGUGGCGAAGGCGGCUUCCUGGCCUGUUCUUGACGCUGAGGCGCGAAAGCUAGGGUAGCAAACGGG